GCAGCGUGUUUGGGAAAAGGGGGGCUGCAGCAUGUUUGGGAAUGGAGGUUGGGGGGGCUGCAGCGUGUUUGGGAAUAGGGGGGCUGCAGUAUGUUUGGGAAUGGAGGUUGGGGGGGCUGCAGCAUGUUUGGGAAUGGAGUUGAGGGAAGGGGGGGCUGCAGUUUGUUACUAUGGUUACUGGGUUACUGUCACACAGCGAGGUUGGAGAACUGAACUGUCCUCCUGAUAUUUGCUGCAUAAGCACCCCUCCAAAAAAGAAGGGAUAAACAAUAGAAGCAUUAUACACACUGAAAAAAACUACAUUUGCUACCUUCGAUUAACAUGUUUAAAUGGGCACUUAAAUCAUUUUAUCUGCCUUGUGAGAAUCACUAUUUUUCAAGUAUCCAUGUUCUAAGAUGCUGUUCCACUUUUCAGAGGAAGCCAAGUGUAUAUAUUCUGAUUAUUUGUCUUAAAGCAUUUAAAUAUUAGGCAGUCCUUUCAACAUGACUGUACAAGUCAAAAGGAGGUUUGACAAUCCAAAUUAUGAUAUUAUCAGUUUAGCUAAAGCUUGGAUGUUUGCCAAAAAUAUUAUUUGUGACUUGCUUUGUGCCAAACCAAGAAUCGCUGUUGUCGGUUAUUUUUUACACAUUACAAGCAUACCACUAUGAACUCUGAGGCUAUGUUCUGUUUUCCUCUAGUCUAGCUGAAUCUAAGCUAAAGUUGAGGACAAGGUUACGCUUGCAUAAACUACACACAAAGCAGGGUUUCCAUUAUGAAAAUGUGUCGCUGGAAAUUUGACAUGCAUAUUUUAAUUUAAUGGAUCUUCGAGACAUUUACUGGACCCAUAUGCAUUGGGUGCGUAACCUGAUUAGAGCGUCCACUCACUGUGCUCAGAAUUACAGAAAUCACAUUUAGAUUAUUGUAAUUAAUCUGAACAGAACAUGCAAGUUGAGGAUGCAAUGACGUGUGUCCUUACUGCACACUUUGAAGAUGUUAGCAUAACUGUCCACAUUUACUUUUCCUCAGCCAACAAGAUGAGUAACGAACAGCUAAAUCACGAGCUAGCAUAUGUAUAUGUGACACGAGAGUUUCCAGUUUGGGGAAGCAAAUGUUCACAAUAAAAAAUACACCUUUAUAAUUAAGCAUUCCAUGCAUCAUUGCAUUUGUAGACUUACGUAAGAUAGUCUACAUUUCAUGUGAUGAGUAGAUUGGAUAGUCAUAAUUUAAGCUAAUAACUCAAUCACUGUCCGCAAAAAAUACAUUUCAAUGAAUGGCAGAGUGUGUAUUGAAUUGCCUGGGCAAUAUACGUUUCUUCUUUCUGGGAAAAACACAUGUCAUGCAAUUCUACUACACUUUAUUUGACUGGAGACAUUAGCAGCAUCUUUUUUAAUACGACAAAUUACAGGGUAGGCUAGUCUGCUGACACUUCCAAACAGAUCAAUAAAAAUAACCCUGUCCAAUAUAAUAGGCUUAUGAGAAGGGGAGACACAAAUAGAAUAUGACAUCUAUCCAGAGAACCUUACAGUAGUGAGUGCACACAUUUCUGUAUUGGUCACCUGUGGGAAUCAAACCCACAACCCAGGUAUUGCAAGCACCAUGCUCUACCAACUGAGCUACACAGGACCUUAUGAUGUUAAAGCCUGCCUUCCGUUCCCUAUGUAUUUGAAUGGCGAAUGGGAAGCGCGCUACAAUUACCAGUUGAGAAAAAAAAAUAGUAACUCUUUUUAAUUGUGACCCAAAAUCAAUUUUUAAUGCACGAUUGCAUUUAGAAUUGUUGUGCAAUUACUGUGUUUAUAAAAACGCGGUCUAACAGAUUUUCCACUCAAAGGUUCUGUAUCUGUAUGCUGUGUGUGUGUGUGAUAAAUAAGAUACAUUGCGAAUAUACACACGCGGCAAUUUAAUUCCACUAAAUUAGGCAAAUUAGCGCAUAGACUUAUAAGCAUGACCGGUGAAAUGUAUUUACAUCAAUUGGUAUUUCCAUUAAUGAAUAGGCUAAAAAGCAUUAUUUUGAAAAAUAUAUAUAUAUAUAUCUUCUCCCAGACAAGUGGCCGGUGCCAAUUUUAUUUAUUGACUUUUGUAUAUUUUUAGCCCCCAAAAGCCGGCUAUUACCAGCUAACGGAAACCCUGACACAAAGAUACAGUACAGUCACUUUUUGGUGCUUAAUAACUUGUGGAAAGUUACAAGCUUUGCCAUAAUCAAUUAUUAUCAUUUAUGCCAAUAUCUGUCCUGUACAACUGAAUGUUACUUCAAUGAUGAAAUUUGGUUCUGGCACUGUUUUAAAUAUAUGGAAUAAUUAUACAUAGGAUCAACCUUACAUUCCCCUCAGUGAUACUUAUACACUUUAUUCAGUAUGUUCAUAUAUUACACAUCAUUUCCUCUUUGGAUCAUUCAUUUGGAUUUCACAACUUUAUUAAAAUAAUGUUUUCAUCCAAAUGCUAGAACCGUCUCACAAUCAGAUGAUGUAAAUAUGUUGUAAAUCUUGCAGGGGGUGGGUGCUGUGUUUUGUGAAUGUGCAGUGUAUAUUAACACAGUAUUUAUGGGUGUAUGUGAGGAAAUGAAAUAGUAAGCAGCUGUCUUAUGUAGCAGUGUGUGGAAGGUUGUCAGGGGGUUCACUUUUUUGUUUGUACCAUUUUGAUGCUUUUGUUGAUGUUAGAGGAAGCACGAUUAUUAGCGUAUGGACCUUACCCAUCGGUCAGACAUUUAAAUGAAUGGUCUUUGUGCCCUUUCUGUUAGCUUUGCACAAGGGUACAAACAAAGCCACACCUCCAUGUUGCCUGUGCCCUCCGAUGGAGGGUGAAUGAUGCCUGAAUUGCAUCUGUAAUUUCCUUUGGAGUUGUUUUUUGCCUGUUUUUUGUAGAAAGAGGAACAGGCAUCUACCACUAGAACGUUAUUCAAUCAUAAUCAUACAGUGACCAUUGGUAACUAAAUGAACACCAUGACACUGCACAAGCGUGUGUAUAGGACCAGAACACAUGUCGGUACCAACUCUCAGAUACAUCUGCAUAUUAGCUAGCUGUACUUAUGGCAAGUGAAUUAAAUGCAUCCUGAUUCGUAACAUUUGUCAGAAUGUGACACGGACUGCAGGACAGUUUCUCACUAAAGGACUUAAUUAAUCUGAUCUUAAAACUGUAUUCAAAUCCGUUUUCAUAUUGGACGACUUUGAUAUUUCAAGUAGCACUUGCUACAAAGUAUUUUCAAGGACAAUGUUUGUAUUGUAUGUUACAACUGUACUGUAUAUAUAUAUAUAUAUAGUCUACACACCCUGCCUCCACUCUACUGUAUGAAAGUCAUUUGUACAUGUUUUAUUCUUUGGAUGUGGAAAUAUAUAUUUGUGUAAAAUCAA